rnacentral:rRNA from 1 species
UACGUAGGGUCCAAGCGUUGUCCGGAUUUAUUGGGCGUAAAGAGCUCGUAGGCGGUUCCGUAAGUCGGAUGUGAAAACUCGGGGCUCAACCCCGAGACGCCAUCCGAUACUGCGGUGACUUGAGUCUGGUAGGGGAACACGGAAUUCCUAGUGUAGCGGUGAAAUGCGCAGAUAUCAGGAGGAACACCGAUGGCGAAGGCAGCUCACUGGGACGGUAUUGACGCUGAGACGCGAAAGCGUGGGGAGCAAACAGG